rnacentral:misc_RNA from 1 species
UUUCCGUAGGUGAACCUGCGGAAGGAUCAUUCAUAAUAAGUGUUUUAUGGCCCUUUUUUAAAUCCAUAAACCCCUUGUGUACAAUGUCAGGGUUGAUUUUUCUCUCGAGAAGGUCAGCCCCAAACAUCAACUAUAUCUCAUCUCAGUGUCUGAAAAAUAUAUUGAUCAAAACAAACUAAAAUACAACUUUCAACAACGGAUCUCUUGGCUCUC